GAUGAACGCUGGCGGCGUGCUUAACACAUGCAAGUCGAACGAAGCACUUUAUUUGAUUUCCUUCGGGACUGAUUAUUUUGUGACUGAGUGGCGGACGGGUGAGUAACGCGUGGGUAACCUGCCUUGUACAGGGGGAUAACAGUUGGAAACGGCUGCUAAUACCGCAUAAGCGCACGGCAUCGCAUGAUGCAGUGUGAAAAACUCCGGUGGUAUAAGAUGGACCCGCGUUGGAUUAGCUAGUUGGUGAGGUAACGGCCCACCAAGGCGACGAUCCAUAGCCGACCUGAGAGGGGGACCGGCCACAUUGGGACUGAGACACGGCCCAAACUCCUACGGGAGGCAGCAGUGGGGAAUAUUGCACAAUGGGCGAAAGCCUGAUGCAGCGACGCCGCGUGAGCGAAGAAGUAUUUCGGUAUGUAAAGCUCUAUCAGCAGGGAAGAUAAUGACGGUACCUGACUAAGAAGCACCGGCUAAAUACGUG
rnacentral:rRNA from 1 species